GUGGUUUAAUUCGAAGAUACACGAAGAACCUUACCUGGCCUUGACAUGGUAGGAACCUUAAGAGAUUAGGGGUGCUAGCUUGCUAGAACCUACACACAGGUGCUGCACGGCUGUCGUCAGCUCGUGUCGUGAGAUGUUGGGUUAAGUCCCGCAACGAGCGCAACCCUCGUCCUUAGUUGCUAACAGUUCGGCUGAGCACUCUAGGGAGACUGCCUUCGCAAGGAGGAGGAAGGUGAGGACGACGUCAAGUCAUCAUGGCCCUUACGGCCAGGGCUACACACGUGCUACAAUGGGGCGUACAGAGAGCUGCGAUACCGCGAGGUGGAGCCAAUCUCUUAAAGCGUCUCUCAGUUCGGAUUGUUCUCUGCAACUCGAGAACAUGAAGCUGGAAUCACUAGUAAUCGCAGAUCAGCUAUGCUGCGGUGAAUACGUUCCCGGGUCUU
rnacentral:rRNA from 1 species